UUCACCGAAGACAGAGUCAUUUUUCUGCAAUCUGUUGACUGCUUUUGCUCUCUGUUGCACAAAAGAUCAAUUUUAUUAACUCAUGGUUGGUGAUUGAAACCAGUACUAAAACUGAGAGUGUGCUGAAUGAAAAAGAUGGUAGAGCAUCUGGCAGUGUCUCCGAUGCUAUGUGCUCAGCCUGCAAGAUGGCGGUCUCCCGGAUGCAAGACAAGCUGAAGCAGAACAAAACUCUGAGAACAUAGCAUUGAUUAUGUGAAUGAGUUAUGUGAUCAAGGGUUGAACCAAGUUGCAGCAUUGGUUGACUGUGAACGGAUCCCUCAAUUGCCUACUGCCUCCUUCACCAUUGGUGGCACAUCUUUUGUUCCUACUUGUGAACACAACAGUACUCUCUCCAGAUGGAUGAGGGACCUGCAGCUCACUGGAUUCAUACCUAUGGACGCUCCUCCUCCUCGUGGAUCCAUCUUCUUGUUCUCUUGCAUUUUCUUUGAACUCAGAAUCAUGUCUCUUUAAGAUGAUGAUUCAUCUCAUUGAUUGAUUUAAUAUCGUUUGGUGAAAUAUGGUUCUCAAUACAGGAUCUCUUUGGAGGA